ACUUGAAUACUGUGAAAACUAGAUUGUAAAUUUUCUCCGUGUACUCACUCGCCGAUAUUUGCCACCUGGGAAACACAUUGAAAACAUGGCAAGUGAAAUUAUUUUCUUGCGGAAUUGCUGCGGAAGCUUCGGCACUGGCAGCUGUCACACAUACAUUAGCAAAUCAAAGACCUACAACGCCUACAACGCGUCGUGCAGGAAGCUGGACAUUUUCCUCGAUCGCUCACAGAAGAAGCACGUUAAAUCCAAAAAAGGGCGCUUGUGAAUGGGAUUAUUGGUGCCGUGGAUCGUUUAGCUGGAGCAGAAAUCAACAGCGGGAGAUUGGAUUGCGCCAGGUCAUUGGCGGUUGAGCACGUGCCGCUAGUCGGUGAUUGGCCAAGUAUCGAUUCAACGGUGAGCGGGCGGUCCAGAAAUUCAGCGAGAAGGGAACGCGGAACAUUUCGGCUUCACCGUCUGGGAUACGUGAACCUGAUACCCUGGUUGGCAAGUGUCCGUGUAGAUCCGGCAAUCUCGCUGAGUGCGGCUGCUGUACGUGAAGGAAUCGGUACACGUUCUCGGACACGAGCAUAGUACGAUAGCAGAAACUCGGUGUGUUGUCAGAUCGCUAAGCGCGGAGUACCUGGCAAGACGUGGAUACAACCACCAUCCGCGAGGUCGAUGUCACUUUGCAAUACCACAAAGACCCUCACAGAGGGUCUUUUUGGAGUGCUGAUUCGACGAUAACACAUCCGAGCGUACCGCUCGCUGCAGGAGAACCUACUGCUUGGAUAAGUGUAGACUUUCAACGAGUGAACUUACUCAUCUAGUUCUCGACGUCCAAACCAGCUGGAACUGGGUUAGAACCUCGUUGAACCGCAUGUGUGUGAGUGCCAAGGGUUAGUGCUGGUUGUACGCCGUGUCAGAAAAGACCUGUGGGAAGAUCAGCGGCGAAUCGAGCAUGAGCAGUCCUACCGGCGAAUAUCAGUGGAGAGCUGCCAGAGUAAAGAUCGUGCGCAUGCAAGACGAAACAUCCCGGCCGCAUCCAGUACCAGAAGAAGCAGGCAGAAGCAUAAGGCAAGCGGGGCGAGUGAGACGAAACAGUGAGUGCUAGUUGUAUAAGAUCAGGGUGCACCCAUGAAGAUUAGUAUAAGUAAACAAUUAAGGCUAAAGGCCGUACACAUUUUGUUAGUUUAAGAGCAAAUUCGCCAAUUUGGGCAGUUUAAUAUAAACAUGCAUAAAAACUAGUUGUUGGUUGGUAAUUUCUUAUCGAGCAGCCGGAGA